rnacentral:rRNA from 1 species
CCUACGGGAGGCAGCAGUGGGGAAUAUUGCACAAUGGGCGUACGCCUGAUGCAGCAACGCCGCGUGAGCGAUGACGGCCCUCGGGUCGUAAAGCUCUGUCCUCAAGGAAGAUAAUGACGGUACUUGAAGCGGAAGCCCCGGCUAACUACGUGCCAGCAGCCGCGGUAAUACGUAGGGGGCGAGCGUUAUCCGGAAUUACUGGGCGUAAAGGGUGCGUAGGUGGUUUCUUAAGUCAGAGGUGAAAGGCUAGGGCUCAACCGUAGUAAGCCGUUGAAACUGGGGAACUUGAGUGCAGGAGAGGAGAGUGGAAUGCCUAGUGUAGCGGUGAAAUGCGUAGAUAUUAGGAGGAACACCAGUUGCGAAGGCGGCUCUCUGGACUGUAACUGACACUGAGGCACGAAAGCGUGGGGAGCAAACAGGAUUAGAUACCCCUGUAGUC